UACGUAGGGGGCUAGCGUUAUCCGGAAUUACUGGGCGUAAAGGGUGCGUAGGUGGUUUCUUAAGUCAGAGGUGAAAGGCUACGGCUCAACCGUAGUAAGCCUUUGAAACUGGGAAACUUGAGUGCAGGAGAGGAGAGUGGAAUUCCUAGUGUAGCGGUGAAAUGCGUAGAUAUCAGGAGGAACACCAGUUGCGAAGGCGGCUCUCUGGACUGUAACUGACACUGAGGCACGAAAGCGUGGGGAGCAAACAGG
rnacentral:rRNA from 1 species